ensembl:lncRNA
CGCUCUUUCCAGGAGUCUUUUUGACACAGCAUUGACGAUAUAUGGAAGAGCUCAAGACACCUUUAUACACCUGAACCUGAAAUUAUUGUGAAACAUGACACCUAGAAGGUCAAGAUCAGAUUUCAUUAAGACUUCAAUCAAGCUUCCUGUGUGAUUUUCUUUACACCAUUUCAUCAUAUAUUGAUUAUUUUUUAUUCUUUACUCAAUCUGUAGAAUUAAAAUUGCAAGUGAAGUUAUUGGAGAAGAUAUGAUACUUAACAGAAUUCACAUUUCUGUGCAAAGUUACUAUAUGUGCCAAGAUUAUUAUCAGAUAUUCAGGAUUUGGAAUUUGUUCCAUUACUGGUAUAGAUUCAACUCAAUGGUGCUUUCCUAUUUGCCAAAAAUGUGGACAUCUGUUUUAUCUACUUAACAAGAAUUUGCAAACUUGCAACUCUUGUUAUUCUGCUAUGUCUAUCUGCAAAUAUUGGUUUGAUAUUUAACACCUUACUUCCUGACACUUCUUCAGAUUCAGCUUAGCCCACCUCCAUUAAUCAAAUGUUUCCAGAAUCACAAUGGUCAUAUCUGCUAAUGAGUUUCAUAGCUGUGUCCCACAAGUGAGUCUACACCAGUAUCACAGCAUCUAUAAUCACAUCAUAGAGAGAGAAAAAUGUUCUAAAUACGAAGCUUACUGAUACAUAACUUUAUACAUGGAUAUAAGGCUGCUAUGAACAACUUUGGAAAUAAAUGAAACAGUGCUCAACAUCUAAAAGAAUGAGUUCCCAUGUCUGUGCCUAUCCAGGACUGAGAACUCCACAUCUGGAUACAGAUUAGCAUGGGUAUUCACUACAUUAAUGGAUAAAGAGAUGCCUUGGAUUCAGAGCAUCUAAGUUUUCCUGAGUGAAUUUUUGACAAGGGUCCUCUUUCAUCACUUAAGAUGUCUUCCAAACAAAGCAUGAUGGUGACUUGGCCACUACAGUGUUCUUUUUACAGGUGCAAGUAAUCUCAUAGAUAACAUUUAGUAUAGAGUUGCUUAGGCUAGAAUAUGCACAG